rnacentral:rRNA from 1 species
GACGAACGCUGGCGGCGUGCCUAAUACAUGCAAGUCGAACGCAGUGGGGACGGGUGAGUAACACGUGGGUAACCUCCCAUCAGAGGGGAUAACACUUGGAAACAGGUGCUCAACCGAUACUGCUGGAUGUACCCGCGGUGCAUUAGCUAGUUGGUGAGGUAACGGCUCACCAAGGCCACGAUGAAUAGACGACCGGAGAGGGUGAUCGGCAACACUGGGACUGAGAAACGGCCCAGACUCCUACGGGAGGCAGCAGUAGGGAAUCUUCGGCAAUGGACGAAAGGCUGACCGAGCAAAGCAGCGUGAGUGAAGAAGGUUUUCGGAUCGUAAAACUCUGUUGUUAGAGAAGCGGUAUCUAACCAGAAAGCCACGGCUAACUACGUGCCAGCAGCCGCGGUAAUAC